rnacentral:RNase_P_RNA from 1 species
AGAGUUGAUCGGAUGGCUGCUAGUGUUUCACUAGAGGAAAGUCCGGACUUCAUAGAGUAAAGUGCCAGGUAACUCCUGGGAGGCGUGAGCCUACGGCAAGUGCAGCAGAAAGUAUACCGCCAAGAAAUUGGUAAGGGUGAAAUGGCAGGGUAAGAGCCUACCGCGCAUUUGGUAACAAAUGCGGCAAUGUAAACCCCACUUAGAAGCAAAACCAAAUAGGAAUCCGCUGAGGCUACUCGCCAAGGAUUCGGGUAGGUUGCUCGAGUAAUAUGGCGACAUAUUGCCUAGAUAGAUAGCCAUCUAAGACAGAAUCCGGCUUAUAGAUCAACUCGCACC